rnacentral:rRNA from 1 species
GUGCCAGCCGCCGCGGUAAUACCGGCAGCCCGAGUGAUGACCGAUCUUAUUGGGCCUAAAGCGUCCGUAGCUGGCCGAACAAGUCCGUCGGGAAAUCCACGUGCUUAACGCGUGGGCGACCGGCGGAAACUGUCCGGCUUGGGGCCGGAGGACCCGAAGGGUACGUCCGGGGUAGGAGUGAAAUCCCGUAAUCCUGGACGGACCGCCGGUGGCGAAAGCGCCUCGGGAAGACGGACCCGACAGUGAGGGACGAAAGCUCGGGUCUCAAACCGGAUUAGAAACCCCGUAGUCC